CCCUUGGUAGUGCAGAUAUUCAGCAUGCUUGGCUGCUAACCAAAAGGUUGGAGGUUCAAGUCCACCCAUAGGCU
rnacentral:tRNA from 1 species